AUUGAACGCUGGCGGCAUGCCUUACACAUGCAAGUCGAACGGCAGCGGACCUUCGGGUGCCGGCGAGUGGCGAACGGGUGAGUAAUAUAUCGGAACGUACCUUUCAGUGGGGGAUAACGUAGCGAAAGUUACGCUAAUACCGCAUAUUCUGUGAGCAGGAAAGCAGGGGAUCGCAAGACCUUGCGCUGAUUGAGCGGCCGAUAUCAGAUUAGCUAGUUGGUGAGGUAAAGGCUCACCAAGGCGACGACCUGUAGCGGGUCUGAGAGGAUGAUCCGCCACACUGGAACUGAGACACGGUCCAGACUCCUACGGGAGGCAGCAGUGGGGAAUUUUGGACAAUGGGCGCAAGCCUGAUCCAGCCAUGCCGCGUGAGUGAAGAAGGCC
rnacentral:rRNA from 1 species